rnacentral:rRNA from 1 species
AGUGAACGCUGGCGGUAGGCCUAACACAUGCAAGUCGAACGGCAGCACAGUAAGAGCUUGCUCUUACGGGUGGCGAGUGGCGGACGGGUGAGGAAUACAUCGGAAUCUACUUUUUCGUGGGGGAUAACGUAGGGAAACUUACGCUAAUACCGCAUACGACCUACGGGUGAAAGCAGGGGAUCUUCGGACCUUGCGCGAUUGAAUGAGCCGAUGUCGGAUUAGCUAGUUGGCGGGGUAAAGGCCCACCAAGGCGACGAUCCGUAGCUGGUCUGAGAGGAUGAUCAGCCACACUGGAACUGAGACACGGUCCAGACUCCUACAGGAGGCAGCAGUGGGGAAUAUUGGACAAUGGGCGCAAGCCUGACCCAGCCAUACCGCGUGGGUGAAGAAGGCCUUCGGGUUGUAAAGCCCUUUUGUUGGGAAAGAAAAGCAGCAGGUUAAUACCCCGCUGUUCUGACGGUACCCAAAGAAUAAGCACCGGCUAACUUCGUG